ensembl:lncRNA LOC102547360 uncharacterized LOC102547360
AAGCUUGACUGAUGAGUAUUAACUUCUGAGCCUGUGUAGUAAAAGCUGGCUACUAAGCCCACAGGCAAAGCACCAAAUCCUCACCCAUGAUCACUUUCUCAGAAAAACAAAGUCUAUUGGGCAAGGCUUCAAAGGGCAAGGCUUCACGUCUUAAAGGUUCCACAGUCUUCUAAAACAGCACCCUAGUUAAAGACCAGUUCUUCAAACACAUGAAGCUAUGGGAGGAACACUGAGAAACAUUCUCUUCAGAUAACUUGUGAUGCACACCAAAUGAUGCUGAUAAACAAAUCAAAAGUCACUGCAGGGAUUCCAAUCAAGACUUGUCUGACCAUGCUGCACAAAUAAAAAUUCAGAUAUCAACAUAAUCUUUAAAUUUCACAUGUGGUGCUGGGGAAAUGGCCCAGCAGACAAUGUGCUUGUGUGUAAGCAUGAAGGACAGAGUUCAGAUUCUCAGCACCCAUGUAAAAGCUAGGCAAGAGUAAUUCCAGUUCUUAGAAGAUGGAGCUAGAGGACUCCUGGGGCAAGCUAGCUAGCUGGACCAGCCAAAUCAGUGAGCUCUGGGUUCUGAAAGAGAGCCUGUUUCAGUAAGUGAAAUGGAGAGUGAUUGAGAAAGGCAUCUGAUGUCAUCCUCUGAC